UCCACAUGUCCUUGCCAGUGAGAACGAGUGAUCUGUGGUCACCCCGGCUUCGGGUCAGUGCGGGGAGCCACCCGGUCCUCCUGUGCCGGACCAGGGAGGGGAGUAUGGAGCUCAGGCUCAUGACUCGAAGGGGCGGUUCACUGAGCCCACAGUGUUCUAGACACUCUUCUGAAUGUUGUCUCACUUAGGUCAUCGCCCAUCAAUGAAGCAGCAGUUGUGGGCCUCCUUCCGCAAACGCAGACCUUGACCUUGGGUGAAACUGGGUGAUUGCUCACAUGUCUGAGCAAAGCCUUCCUGGUCGUGAGUCACAGAAACCAACUAGAGCUCAGUCUUGCAAAGGAAUCGAAAAGGGAGGAGCAGGGAGGGGCAGGGAGGGUCCAGGGACAUUCUGCGGAUCCCACAGUCAGACCUGCCACCAGAGCCAGGAGGACCUUGAACUUGGAUCAGGAAGGAGCUGGGAGCCUGGCAAACACACCCCCGACGCGUCCUUCCGGCCAUCGCAGAAGGGCUCCUUUCUCUCGGGUCUUUGUCCUUGUAGAGAAGGAUGGUGGCCCUGUAGCUCCUGAAACCCUGUGUUCCAGGGCCAGCCGCCGGCUGAAGACCUGACCCUCACUCCCAACUCUAAGCUUUUCACAGGGACGACUGCGUCUUCUUAGUAGGGUCUGCGGCCAGGCCACACCUAUGGUUGCAAGUUUCUCCAUGUGUGGAAACCAAGGAUUUCAACCACUUCCAUUUUGACUUCAAACCUUCUAAUGCAUUAAGGUCUUUCCAGGUAUCUCUGAACUCAGCAAAAGAGCCUGCAGGCAAAGCAUCCCUUGAUGGGAAGUGAAACUACCCGCUCCAGCAAAGACGGCCCUGAGCCAGCCAGACCCCACCUGUGACUGACCCCAAGACAGUGAUGACCUGACCUUUACGGCCGCCUGCAGGAGCCCAGCGACCUUUACCCCCCCUUUUCCCUAUCAACCUGGAAUAUUUUCAGCAUCUUGAAGACAGUCUUUCAGACGCUAGUCCACUGCCUUCCCAGUGCCGGACUCACUGGAAUAAAUUCCUUUCUUGUUCCACUGUCACUUGUCUCUCUGCGAGCGACUGGACCUGGGGCCCCCGGAGCCAGAUGCUCUCGCACGCCUGUGCCCCAGCUCCGGAGAGAUGGAGUGACGGGUUCUAGACAAGCGAUGGAAGGGUCGCGGGUUUGACAAACACUGAACGUGCACUCGCCACGUACCAAGUUGACGCAACUGUUCCUUUAGCCUCCCCAGAUGGUCAUCAAGUUUCUAGAAAAUCUGUUGCAGAAAGCUCGCAGGAAUGAAAGUCUUUCCUUCAUAUGCAUUUGGCUUCUCGGCUUUCCCAUGUCCCCAUCUGAGCUCUGAACAAUCUAAAUGCUUGUUCUUGGCUUAAAAUACUGACUUACAAACUCCAGUGCACAUCUGAAUCACUUGGAGAGAUCGCUGCAACAGACGGUUGGGCCCUGCCCCCAGGUCUCUGAUUCGUUAGGUCUGGAGCCAAGUUCAAGAAUGUGUGUUUUUAACAAGUUCCCACGAGGUUCUAAUGCUGCUGGCCAGGGGACCGCACUUCCACAACUGCUGAACCGGAAGAGCCAAAGUCACGAGCGGGUCCCCAAGACACAUGAAUCACACAAAGCUCUGUGUUUGUUUAGGUGACCCUUGAGCAUCUCGGGUUGCCCCGUGUGGGUCCACUUCUAUGCGGGUUUUUCUGGUAAAGACAGUACAGUGCUGUAAAUGUGUUUUUCUUCCUUAUGAUUUUCUUUUUCUAGCUUACUUUAUUAUAAACAUACAGUAUAUGAUA